GACUUAUGUUGAAAAAUGAGCGGAUGAGCUGUGGAUCGGAGUGAAAGGCUAAUCAAGCCCGGAGAUAGCUGGUUCUCCUCGAAAGCUAUUUAGGUAGCGCCUCGCGUAUCACUGCCGGGGGUAGAGCACUGUUAUGGCUAGGGGGCCAUCCCGGCUUACCAACCCAUUGCAAACUCCGAAUACCGGCAAGUGCAAUCGCGGGAGACACACUACGGGUGCUAACGUCCGUGGUGGAAAGGGAAACAACCCAGACCGCCAGCUAAGGUCCCAAAAUUACAGCUCAGUGGGAAACGAUGUGGGAAGGCUUAGACAGCUAGGAGGUUGGCUUAGAAGCAGCCAUCCUUUAAAGAAAGCGUAAUAGCUCACUAGUCGAGUCGGCCUGCGCGGAAGAUAUAACGGGGCUCAAACUAUACACCGAAGCUACGGACGCAUGCUUGCAUGCGUGGUAGAGGAGCGUUCUGUAGGCCGUUGAAGGGAAAGCUGAGAGGCAUCCUGGAGGUAUCAGAAGUGCGAAUGCUGACAUGAGUAACGAUAAGGGGAGUGAAAAGCUCCCCCGCCGGAAGACCAAGGUUUCCUAUCCCAUGCUAAUCAGGGUAGGGUUAGUCGGCCCCUAAGGCGAGGCAGAAAUGCGUAGUCGAUGGGAAGCGGGUUAACAUUCCCGCACUUCUUAUUAUUGCGAUGGAGGGACGGAGUAGGCUAGGCCAUCAGGGCGUUGGUUGUCUCUGUUUAAGGUUGUAGGUCAGUAUCUUAGGUAAAUCCGGGAUACUCUCUUUAGUGAGGAGACUGAGAGCUGAUGACGAGUUCUGGCGAAAGCCAGAAUGAAGUGGUUGAUGCCAUGCUUCCAAGAAAAGCUUCUAAGCUUCAGGUAAUAAGAAACCGUACUCCAAACCGACACAGGUGGUCAGGUAGAGAAUACCAAGGCGCUUGAGACAACUCUGGUGAAGGAACUAGGCAAAAUGGCACCGUAACUUCGGGAGAAGGUGCGCUGUUGGCGGUGAUCGGACUUGCUCCGUAAGCUGUCGACAGCCGAAGUGACCAGGCCGCUGCGACUGUUUAUUAAAAACACAGCACUUUGCAAACACGUAAGUGGACGUAUAAGGUGUGACGCCUGCCCGGUGCCGGAAGGUUAAUUGAUGGGGUUAGUCUUCGGACGAAGCUCUUGAUCGAAGCCCCGGUAAACGGCGGCCGUAACUAUAACGGUCCUAAGGUAGCGAAAUUCCUUGUCGGGUAAGUUCCGACCUGCACGAAUGGCGUAACGACGGCGGCGCUGUCUCCACCAGAGGCUCAGUGAAAUUGAAUUUGCGGUGAAGAUGCCGUAUACCCGCACCUAGACGGAAAGACCCCGUGAACCUUUACUAUAU
rnacentral:rRNA from 1 species